GACGAACGCUGGCGGCGUGCCUAAUACAUGCAAGUAGAACGCUGAAGGAGGAGCUUGCUCUUCUGGAUGAGUUGCGAACGGGUGAGUAACGCGUAGGUAACCUGCCUGGUAGCGGGGGAUAACUAUUGGAAACGAUAGCUAAUACCGCAUAAGAGUAAAUGUUGCAUGACAUUUGCUUAAAAGGUGCAAUUGCAUCACUACCAGAUGGACCUGCGUUGUAUUAGCUAGUUGGUGGGGUAACGGCUCACCAAGGCGACGAUACAUAGCCGACCUGAGAGGGUGAUCGGCCACACUGGGACUGAGACACGGCCCAGACUCCUACGGGAGGCAGCAGUAGGGAAUCUUCGGCAAUGGACGGAAGUCUGACCGAGCAACGCCGCGGGAGUGAAGAAGGUUUUCGGAUCGUAAAGCUCUGUUGUAAGAGAAGAACGAGUGUGAGAGUGGAAAGUUCACACUGUGGCGGUAUCUUACCAGAAAGAGACGGCUAACUACGUG
rnacentral:rRNA from 1 species